rnacentral:rRNA from 1 species
GGGCCCGCACAAGCGGUGGAGUAUGUGGUUUAAUUCGAUGCAACGCGAAGAACCUUACCAGGGUUUGACAUCCUGCGAAUUUCUGGGAAACCGGAAAGUGCCUUCGGGAGCGCAGUGACAGGUGGUGCAUGGCUGUCGUCAGCUCGUGUCGUGAGAUGUUGGGUUAAGUCCCGCAACGAGCGCAACCCACGUCUUUAGUUGCCAGCAUUCAGUUGGGCACUCUAGAGAGACCGCCGGUGAUAAACCGGAGGAAGGUGUGGAUGACGUCAAGUCAUCAUGCCCCUUACAUCCUGGGCUACACACGUACUACAAUGCUACGGACAAAGAGCAGCAAGUUCGCGAGGACAAGCAAAUCUCAUAAACCGUGGCUCAGUUCAGAUCGUAGGCUGCAACUCGCCUACGUGAAGGAGGAAUCGCUAGUAA